UACGGAGGGUGCAAGCGUUGCUCGGAAUUAUUGGGCGUAAAGGGUAGGUAGGUGGUCUCAUUUGUCUGGGGUGAAAGCCUUGAGCUUAACUCAAGAAGUGCCCCAGAGACGGUGAGACUGGAGUCCUGGAGAGGGUCGUGGAAUUCCCGGUGUAGCGGUGGAAUGCGUAGAGAUCGGGAAGAAUACCUGUGGCGAAGGCGGCCAGCUGGGCCAGGUCCGACACUGAGGCGCGAAAGCGUGGGGAGCAAACAGG
rnacentral:rRNA from 1 species